rnacentral:rRNA from 1 species
AGGGCAUUUGGUGGAUGCCUUGGCACCAGAAGGCGAUGAAGGACGUGGCACUCUGCGAAAAGUUCCGGGGAAUUGAGAGCAAAUGUUGAUCCGGAAAUUUCCGAAUGGGGAAACCCGACCCCCUAGGGGGUCAUCGACAGCUGAAUCCAUAGGCUGGCGAGGCGAACCCGGCGAACUGAAAUAUCUCAGUAGCCGGAGGAAAGGACAUCAACCGAGACUCCGUUAGUAGUGACGAGCGAACGCGGACCAGGCCAUUGGGUCAUGAAGAACAACCGGAACCGUCUGGAAAGUCGGGCCAAAGGGGGUGACAGCCCCGUACGGGUCAUGUCUUCGUGAGCCAUCGAGUAGGGCGGGACACGUGAAAUCCUGUCUGAACAUGGGGGGACCACCCUCCAAGCCUAAGUACUCUCUGGUGACCGAUAGUGAACAAGUACCGUGAGGGAAAGGUGAAAAGCACCCCGAUGAGGGGAGUGAAAAAGAACCUGAAACCGGAUGCCUACAAGCAGUCGGAGGGGAACAUGACGCUACGGCGCCGUGGUGCCCUGACGGCGUACCUUUUGCAUAAUGGGUCAGUGACUUGGUAUCUGCAGCAAGCUUAAGCCGUUAGGUGUAGGCGUAGCGAAAGCGAGUCUGAACAGGGCGUCGAGUUGCAGGUAUCAGACCCGAAACCGGGUGAUCUAGCCAUGGGCAGGUUGAAGGUGCGGUAACACGCACUGGAGGACCGAACCCACGUCUGUUGAAAAAGGCGGGGAUGACCUGUGGCUAGGGGUGAAAGGCCAAUCAAACCCGGAGAUAGCUGGUUCUCCGCGAAAGCUAUUUAGGUAGCGCGUCGUGUAUUGCCCUCGGGGGUAGAGCACUGGAUGGGCUAGGGGGGAGCGAUCCUUACCAAACCUAACCAAACUCCGAAUACCGUGGAGCACAGCACGGCAGACAGACUAUGGGUGCUAAGAUCCGUGGUCGAAAGGGAAACAGCCCAGACCGCCAGCUAAGGUCCCCAAGUUAUGGCUAAGUGGGAAAGCAUGUGAGACGGCCAAGACAACCAGGAGGUUGGCUUAGAGGCAGCCAUCCUUUAAAGAAAGCGUAACAGCUCACUGGUCUAGACAAGCUGUUUUGCGGCGAAGAUUUAACGGGGCUCAAGCCAUACACCGAAGCUGCGGAUCCGGAAGUCUCUUCCGGAUGGUAGCGGAGCGUUCCGUAGGCCUGUGAAGGCGGACCUGUGAGGGCCGCUGGAGGUAUCGGAAGUGAGUAUGCUGACAUGAGUAGCGAUAAAGAGUGUGAGAAACACUCUCGCCGAAAUCCCAAGGGUUCCUGCGCAAGGUUAAUCCACGCAGGGUGAGCCGGCCCCUAAGGCGAGGCCGAAAGGCGUAGUCGAUGGGAACCAGGUCAAUAUUCCUGGGCCUGCCAGAUGUGACGAACUUCGUAGAUUGUCCGGGCUUAUCGGAUUGCUCCGGGCAGUGAAGAAGUUCCAGGAAACAGCUCUGGCAUCAAGACCGUACCCUAAACCGACACAGGUGGGAUGGUAGAGUAUACCGAGGCGCUUGAGAGAACGAUGUUGAAGGAACUCGGCAAAUUGCCUCCGUAACUUCGGAAGAAGGAGGCCCUGUCCGCGGGCAACCGCGGGUGGGGGGCACAGAGCGGGGGGUAGCGACUGUUUACUAAAAACACAGGGCUCUGCUAAGUCGCAAGACGACGUAUAGGGUCUGACGCCUGCCCGGUGCCGGAAGGUUAAGGGGAGAGGUGCAAGCUUUGAACCGAAGCCCCGGUAAACGGCGGCCGUAACUAUAACGGUCCUAAGGGAGCGAAAUUCCUUGGCGGGUAAGUUCCGUCCUUCACGAAUGGCGUAACGACUUCCCCACUGUCUCCAACAUCGACUCAGCGAAAUUGAAUUCUCCGUGAAGAUGCGGAGUACCCGUGGUUAGACGGAAAGACCCCGUGCACCUUUACUACAGCUUUGCACUGGUAUUAGCGGUUGUUUGUGUAGGAUAGGUGGGAGCCGGUGAAGCGUUGGCGCCAGCUGACGUGGAGGUACCCUUGAAAUACCACCCUUGUGAUCGCUGAUAUCUAACCGAGUCCCGUGAAUCCGGGGCCGGGACCCUGCAUGGUGGGUAGUUUGACUGGGGCGGUCGCCUCCCAAAGAGUAACGGAGGCGCGCGAAGGUGGGCUCAGGCUGGUCGGAAAUCAGCUGUUGAGUGCAAUGGCAUAAGCCCGCCUGACUGCGAGGCCGACAGGCCGAGCAGAGACGAAAGUCGGUCAUAGUGAUCUGGUGGUUCCGCGUGGAAGGGCCAUCACUUAACGGAUAAAAGGUACGCCGGGGAUAACAGGCUGAUACCGCCCAAGAGUCCACAUCGACGGCGGUGUUUGGCACCUCGAUGUCGUCUCAUCACAUCCUGGGGCUGAAGCAGGUCCCAAGGGUUCGGCUGUUCGCCGAUUAAAGUGGUACGUGAGAUGGGUUUAGAACGUCGUGAGACAGUUCGGUCCCUAUCUGCCAUGGGUGUAGGAAACUUGAGAGGAGCUGUCCCUAGUACGAGAGGACCGGGAUGGACGCACCUCUGGUGUACCGGUUGUCGCGCCAGCGGCAUCGCCGGGUAGCUAUGUGCGGAAGGGAUAACCGCUGAAAGCAUCUAAGCGGGAAGCCUCCCUCGAAACCGGGUUUCCCUUGAGAGCCGUGGAAGACCACCACGUUGU